rnacentral:rRNA from 1 species
GCAUGUAGCAAUAUCAAGUUUGGUGAGCUCGCCUGAUUUUGGAAGUUAAGCAGGGUUGGGCCUGGUUAGUACUUGGAUGGGAGACCUUUUGGGACUACCAGGUGCUGUGAGCU